CAGCCCCUCGAGUGGUGGGGAUGAUUAUUUGGCCUAAAGCGUCCGUAGCCGGCCGAGCAAGUCUUCCGUUAAAUCCAGCGUCUCAAGCGUUGGACCGCGGGAGAUACUACACGGCUAGAGAGUGGGAGAGGUCAGCGGUAUUCUGGGGGUAGGGGCGAAAUCCUUUGAUCCCCGGACGACCACCAGUGGCGAAGGCUGCUGACUAGAACACGUCUGACGGUCAGGGACGAAAGCUGGGGUAGCGAACCGGAUUAGAGACCCGAGUAGUCC
rnacentral:rRNA from 1 species